ACAAUGUUAUGAUUAAAUUCAUUAUAACAGGACAGACACAUGAAUAACUGAUGUCAAUUUGGUAAAGGGAUAGUUUUACAGUGUAAUGUCACAUAUUAUGCUAUAGCAUAAGUAUACAGUGCCUUAAACGUUUUUUAUCAUCCUUGUAUUCUAGUGGUCACAGACUUUAAUCUGUGCAAGCUGAUUGAGUGACAUCCAAAGUUUACAGAUUUCAAUGGACUUACACAGAAAAUGCCAAAUUUAGUGUUAAACAUUUUACAGUGAUACCCAGCCGAAAGGCCACCCCUUUAAUUCGGCCAGAUUUUUGGGCCUGUUCGUGACCAUAUUAACAGGGUUUCGCUGCAUUCUUUGGUCCAAAGGACUUUUUCUGGACACAUGUUCCAUUUUGUAGGAAUCUGAUUGCUCCUUAGACUAUGAACUUGAGUGAUGGAUGAAGUUAGAACAAACAAAAGAAGGAGUUCUAAUGAGAAAUAUUCCCUCUAUCACCAUUUUUCUUGCAAGUCAUUAGCUUUAACAUUAGAAAAGGCUUCCUUGGCUAAUGUCUCAUGAAUUAUAGAAUCGAAUAAAGUGAUAGUUUCCAUGUGACUUGUACAAAGCUGUGAGACCAUCCCUUCAAUGAGAAUGUAUGAAAGACUAUUUGUAUUGCAGUUCUAAUCUUCUUGAUUUGCUUUGUUCAUUAAAUAAAAAAAUAAAAGCUCGAGGGAUAAAAGAGAUUUGGACGUCAUAAGAGAAGAGCACAGAUUUAUUUGGAAUGAAGAUGAUAAUCCAGAGAGUACUUGGGAAAAGCGUUUGGCUAAGAAGUAUUAUGACAAGUUGUUUAAAGAGUAUUGCAUUUCUGAUCUUAGUAGAUACAAGGAAAACAAGGUGGCAUUAAGGUGGAGAAUUGAAAAAGAAGUAAUUGAAGGAAAAGGACAGUUCAUGUGUGGUGAUAAAAGAUGUACAGAAUCUGAGGGUCUUCGCAGCUGGGAGGCAAGU